rnacentral:rRNA from 1 species
UGGGGAAUUUUGGACAAUGGGCGAAAGCCUGAUCCAGCAAUGCCGCGUGUGUGAAGAAGGCCUUCGGGUUGUAAAGCACUUUUGUCCGGAAAGAAAUCCUUGGCUCUAAUACAGUCGGGGGAUGACGGUACCGGAAGAAUAAGCACCGGCUAACUACGUGCCAGCAGCCGCGGUAAUACGUAGGGUGCAAGCGUUAAUCGGAAUUACUGGGCGUAAAGCGUGCGCAGGCGGUUUGCUAAGACCGAUGUGAAAUCCCCGGGCUCAACCUGGGAACUGCAUUGGUGACUGGGCAGGCUAGAGUAUGGCAGAGGGGGGUAGAAUUCCACGUGUAGCAGUGAAAUGCGUAGAGAUGUGGAGGAAUACCGAUGGCGAAGGCAGCCCCCUGGCAAGUACUGACGCUCAUGCACGAAAGCGUGGGGAGCAAACAGGAUUAGAUACCCCUGGUAGUCCACGCCCUAAACGAUGUCAACUAGUUGUUGGGGAUUCAUUUCCUUAGUAACGUAGCUAACGCGUGAAGUUGACCGCCU